GGGGGCAGCUGGGUAGCUCAGUGGAUUGAGAGUCAGGCCUUGAGAUGGGAGGUCCUGGGUUCAAAUCUGGUCUUAGACACUUCCCAGCUGUGUGACCCUGGGCAAGUCACUUAACCCCCAUUGCCUAGCUCUUACUGCUCUUCUCCUGCAAGGGACCAGCCCCUUACGACCCCUGAGAGGGGAGGGGGAGAGAGAGAGGGAAAGGGGAAGCGACAAAGAAGGUACCGACAGCUCUCACAUGGUAUGCAAUGAGGAGUCGUUUAUUGAGGGGAAAGAUUAAGAUGGAGCUUGGCCAGAGGCCAAGCUCCUGCAAGCACAGCCAUCGCCUAGCCUGGACGACCUACCAUUCCUCAAGAUCUGUUCGAUCUCUACCCGUUACUGUAAUCUCGAUUUCCUCAGGAUCCUGUUCGAUCCUUACCCGUUAAUCUCGAUUUCGGCGCCGAAUUUUUCCUCAGUCGUCCGGUGGUCGCUCGGGCCCCACGUUGGAGCGCCAGAUGCAAGGGACCAGCCCCUUACGACCCCUGAGAGGGGAGGGGGAGAGAGAGAGGGAAAGGGGAAGCGACAAAGAAGGUACCGACAGCUCUCACAUGGUAUGCAAUGAGGAGUCGUUUAUUGAGGGGAAAGAUUAAGAUGGAGCUUGGCCAGAGGCCAAGCUCCUGCAAGCACAGCCAUCGCCUAGCCUGAAAGAGGAGAGAGGGGAAGAAAAAGCGAGGCGGAGCCCGCUGGGCCAUAAAUACCAUUUGCUACGUAGUACAUAGAGAUGACCCUCAUUGGUCAAUGACAAGGCAUAGGUGUGGUUUCUCUUAACCAGGGGAGAACAAAGAAACUUGUUUUCCCGCCUAAGCUGGGAGAAGCUGGGGUCAAGGGUCAGGGGCCUUCCCAGCCAUGAGCACUACUGAGCAUGCCCAAGACUGACUGUUCCCCUUGCCCCUGGGCUGCUACAUUCUCCCUUGGAACCAAUACACGGUAUUGAUUCCAAGACGGUAGGUAUGACUUUAAAAAAAAAAAAGAAAAAGAAAACAUAAAUAGUUGCAUAGAUAAAUGGAUGGAGAAUGGAGUUAUUACUGUAUUAAAGGGAAGUGAUUGAUGCUUGGGGUCCAUAUUUAACUUUUUGAGAUUAAUGACAGAAAGUACUUGUGCCUUCCCAUAAACCCUGGUUUGGUGGACUGUUUAUCUGACCCAAGAGGCCAGGUCUUUGAUUCAUACUCUUUGAUUCCAAGAAUCCUCCUUGCUAUAAGCCAGCCAGAGAGCAGAGCACUAAUUUUCUAACUCCUGUCAUAUUAUUG
rnacentral:lncRNA from 1 species